GCCGCUGUAGCUCAGCAUGGUAGAGCAAAUUCGUAGCGCAACAUUGUGCUUUGAAGCUCAACUGGCUGUUAACCAGUGGGUCACCAGUUCGAGUCUGGUCAGCGGCG
rnacentral:tRNA from 4 species